rnacentral:lncRNA from 10 species
CUUUGCGUCAGAGCUCUGUGUUACAAAAAAAGGUGAAGUCUUACUCAAUUCAACAGUUUUUAUGCAAAGUCCUCACGGGGAAGAGACUGAUGCCCUGCAAUGCCUCAGGACUCUCCAGAAUGUUUUCACCAGCAAAAAGGCCCUCAGCAGAUGCAGCCUCUCGACCUUGAACUUUCUAGCCUCCAAAAUGAGACAUCAUUCUGGCUGCAUUAUGAAUGGAUGGUUUGGAGGAAGAAUGUGGAUAGCUAAACAAGAAGGAGAAUAGAAAGAAACUACUCUUAAGACUAUUGCAAUAUCCAGUGUUAUCUCAGGACCAAGGAAUUAAUGGU